rnacentral:rRNA from 1 species
ACGUACGCUGGCGGCACGCCUAACACAUGCAAGUCGAACGCAGUAGCAAUACUGAGUGGCAGACGGGUGAGUAUAAUGUGGGAAUCUGCCUUUUGGUUCGGAAUAACACGAGGAAACUUGUGCUAAUACCGGAUAAGCCCUCACGGGGAAAGUUUUAAUGCCAAAAGAUGAGCCCGCACUUGAUUAGCUAGUUGGUAAGGUAAAGCUUACCAAGGCAACGAUCAAUAGCUGUUCUUAGAGGAAGACCAGCCACAUUGGGGACUGAGACACGGCCCAAACUCCUACGGGAGGCAGCAGUGGGAAUCUUGC